AGGUGGGGAAGGGGGAAAACGGGUGAUGGGCAUUGAGGAGGGCACUUGUUGGGACGAGCACUGGCUGUUGUACGUAAGCGAUGAAUUAUGGGAACCUGCUUCCAAAGCCAAGAGCACACUGUAGACAUUGAACGUUAGCUAACGUGACAGUA